rnacentral:rRNA from 1 species
UACGUAGGGUGCGAGCGUUAAUCGGAAUUACUGGGCGUAAAGCGUGCGCAGGCGGUGAUGUAAGACAGAUGUGAAAUCCCCCGGGCUCAACCUGGGAACUGCAUUUGUGACUGCAUCGCUGGAGUGCGGCAGAGGGGGUGGAAUUCCGCGUGUAGCAGUGAAAUGCGUAGAGAUGCGGAGGAACACCGAUGGCGAAGGCAGCCCCCCUGGGCUGACACUGACGCUCAGGCACGAAAGCGUGGGGAGCAAACAGG